UACGUAGGGAGCGAGCGUUAUCCGGAAUUAUUGGGUGUAAAGGGUGCGUAGACGGGAAUGCAAGUUAGUAGUGAAAUCCCUCGGCUCAACUGAGGAACUGCAACUAAAACUACAUUUCUUGAGUGCAGGAGAGGUAAGUGGAAUUCCUAGUGUAGCGGUGAAAUGCGUAGAUAUUAGGAGGAACACCAGUGGCGAAGGCGACUUACUGGACUGUAACUGACGUUGAGGCACGAAAGUGUGGGGAGCAAAC
rnacentral:rRNA from 1 species